UACGUAGGGUGCAAGCGUUGUCCGGAAUUAUUGGGCGUAAAGAGCUCGUAGGCGGCUUGUCGCGUCGUCCGUGAAAACCCACAGCUCAACUGUGGGCUUGCGGUCGAUACGGGCAGGCUAGAGUUCGGUAGGGGAGACUGGAAUUCCUGGUGUAGCGGUGAAAUGACGCAGAUAUCAGGAGGAACACCAAUGGCGAAGGCAGCUCGCUGGGACGGUACUGACGCUGAGGCGCGAAAGCGUGGGGAGCAAACAGG
rnacentral:rRNA from 1 species